ACUUGUUGUUUUUAUAUUAGUGAAAGUUCUCUUUAUUUAUGCGAAGUUCAUAGCCAUCGCAGUUGUAAUCUCCCAGCUCGCACACUUAGGAGGCACAUGGAGCCAUGUUUUACAUAACGCAUUACGGCAACCUUCCCUAGCUAGACACGUCCUAGCGUGCAUUACGGCAAUCUAGGGUUGCCCGCAUUACCACAACUUCAUCACGUCCUAGCAACCUUCCCUGACUUUAUUCUGGUAUUGUCUGCAUUAUCACAACUUCAUCACGUCCUAGCAACCUUCCCUGACUUUAUUCCGGCAUUGCCCGCAUUACCACAACCUCAUCACGUCCUAGCAACCUUCCCUGACUUUAUUCCGGCAUUUCCCGCAUUACCACAACCUCAUCACGUCCUAGCAACCUUCCCUGACUUUAUUCUGGCAUUGCCCGCAUUACCACAACCUCAUCACGUAGCAGUUUCCAAAAAUGAAUAGAAUGCGGACAAUGCCAGAAUUGACGCAUAAUUGUUAGAAAUCUAGGGUUGAAUAUAGUUGUAGGACACAUGAUUCCAACAUCUUCCACUUGUCCGCUUGUCCGAAACGAUCAUUCAAAUAUUUGUAAACCCAUAGCCUUAACAUGCUUACUAGAUACCUCAUGACUAAUAGACUUAGUCAAGGGGUCAACAAUCAUAUUAACACUAUGUUGAAAAAUCUAAAAAUUAAUGUGAUACAUUCCCUUAAUAUGUUUCCUUGUUGUGACACUUAAGAUCACUAGAGAUCCUAGUUUCCGCUUAGUUAUUCCAGCAUAGCUGUUCUCGACAUGUCGAGUAUAAUUUCCUCGGGUGUAAUUCCACCUUUACAGGUACCUUGAAUAUUUCCAUUCCUCGAGAGAAAACUCUACAUCAAUUAUUUUCCAUCACGUUGCGUUGCUGGAAGAGAAAAUUUUCCGCAGCCUACUUUCGUCCCAACGGUCGUGUAGCUGAUAUGCCACCUUCCUAAUUCCCGGAAUAUAAUCAGCACCAGUGACACCAUACUCCCUGUUCUAGGAGUUUACUGUAGUUGUUAUGAUACACGUUGACAGAUUUGCCGUUGCCUAUCCUUAAUAUCAGUCCAUUCAUAAGCAUAUUCCGACAGUGCAUUAAUCUUCUACAUGUAUAGGAGCAACCAUGAAGGCACGAGGCCGACAUAAUGUCCAUGUCCUCAAAAUAGCGAACCUUAAGUGUGCUUGCACAAAGUGAACGAGAAACCAUCAGAAUAUGCCAAACUUUUUUAAGCCCCUCGAACCCACUUCCCCACCUUGCUUCCUUCUACACAUUUUAAUCCCAGGCCAGGGGCGAAGCCAGGUCGGCGGCAAGCCCUAGGCCACACUAAAGCAAUAUUCGUAAAUAUGGGUCUCACGUCCUUAUUAAAAGCUUUAGUCACCAAAGGAGCAGGGGCUCACGCCCCGGGCCGAGGCCAUGGGUGCCUGGGUCCUGUGUCCGCCCCUGUCCCAGGCCAUCCACUGAACCUUCUGUUCGCCAUCGGCUGCCCCCUAUCAGCAUUUAGAAGAUAUAGAAUUCAGGUUACCGCACAUCUUUUUGGAUAACUAUAUUCAACGAACUCUUUUUUAUUGUUAAAUGUCAUUUUGAAGUUUUUGUUUUUCGGAUAGAAAAAGUAGCUGUUUCUCUCACCAUAUCAUUUUAAAGUUCUUAAAUUCUAGAAGGUAAAAGAAAUUUAAAAUAGACAGAAUUCAGGUUACCGCACAUCUUCUUGGAUAAUCAGAUUCAACGAACUAUUUCUUUAGUGUUCCUCUGACCAUAUCAUUUUGAUGUUCUUGAUUUUUAGACAGCAUACUCCCUUCGUCUCAUAAAAUAAGACUUUUUUUAUGCUACACCGGUGAAAAAAAUCAACUUCUUAAAUUCUAGAAGGGAAAAGAAACUUAAAAGAGACAGAAUUCAGGUUACCGCACAUCUUCUUGGAUAAUGAGAUUCAACGAACUAUUUCUUUAGUGUUCCUCUGACCAUAUCAUUUUGAUAUUCUUGAUUUUUAGACAGCGUACUCCCUUCGUCUCAUAAAAUAAUGCUACACCGGUGAAAAAAAUCAAGUUCUUAAAUUCUAGAAGGGAAAAGAAAUUUAAAAG
rnacentral:lncRNA from 1 species